rnacentral:rRNA from 1 species
AUUGAACGCUGGCGGCAGGCCUAACACAUGCAAGUCGAGCGGAGCUGCGGACGGGUGAGUAAUGCCUAGGAAUCUGCCUGGUCGUGGGGGAUAACGUCCGGAAACGGGCGCUAAUACCGCAUACUAUCAGAUGAGCCUAGGUCGGAUUAGCUAGCUGGUGGGGUAAAGGCCUACCUAGGCGACGGUCCGUAACUGGUCUGAGAGGAUGAUCAGGCACACUGUAACUGGGCGACGGUGCAAACUCCGACGGGAGGAAGCGUGGGAGAAUUGUGGAGUAUUGGCGAAAGGCAGAUCCAGGCAUGCCGCGUGUGUGAGGCGGGUCUUCGGAUUGGAGAGCACUUAAAGUUGGGAGGCGGUACAAACAGAAUAAGCACCGGCUAACUUCGUGCCAGCAGCCGCGGUAAUAC